UAUGCACUAUGAACCUGUUCAAGAGAUGCGAAUAGAGUUAUAACCACGUUCUAGCUGACGAGGAACCUAUAAACCAGGUUCAGUGUGUUUCUCACUCAAGUGUGUCUAUUAGCUCGAAGAAAAAUUGUUGCCUCAUCUCUGCCAGUGGAGAAAAUGAAAUUCUUUGCUUUGAUUUUGCUCUUCGGGUUGGUCAUUUUGACUAUCGCAUCGCAAAAAUUCAGAGGUCCUAGACUUCCACAAACAGGUGCCUGUUCUGACCAGGGCUCAUCUUCUGGGUCUAGUGGGAAGAAUAAGAAAGAACCAAAGAACCAUGGCUCUGGCGAAGAAAGUGGAGAUUCUAUUUCAAGUGAUGACCUUUCAAUAUCAGGAGAAACGGGGAAUACUGCGCGCCAUCAGUGGCUGAAAGAGGAGUGGAACAAGAAUUUCGAAAUUUAAGCACUCCGAACGAGAACUCACGUGGGAAAAAGAUUAAAGACGAAAAAAGCAUUCGGCGAUACUCUGUACAACACUUAUUCUUUAUCAAAAAUCC